rnacentral:misc_RNA from 1 species
GAUGAAGAACGUAGCGAAAUGCGAUAAGUAGUGUGAAUUGCAGAAUUCAGUGAAUCAUCGAAUCUUUGAACGCACAUUGCGCCCCUUGGUAUUCCAUGGGGCAUGCCUGUUCGAGCGUCAUUUGUACCUUCAAGCUUUGCUUGGUGUUGGGUGUUUGUCCCGAGGGACUCGCCUUAAAGUAAUUGGCAGCCAGUGUUUGGUUUUGAAGCGCAGCACAAGUCGCGAUUCAAGGCUACACGCCCGCUUCCACAAGCCUUUUCUCACUUUUGACCUCGGAUCAGGUAGGGAUACCCGCUGAACUUAAGCAUAUCAAUAAGCGGAGGA